UCACAGUUGUGGAGGACUCUGUGGAAGAGUCUGACAAUAUAGACAGUGAUGUUAAUGAGCAAAAAAGGAGAGAAUCACCUGUUCAUCACGCCUGUCCAAUAUGCCUCAACAAUUUCCCUUCUGAGGCCAUUGAACUUCAUGCAAGUUCAUGCGGUGAAAGUGCAACAGAAAGUCAUUCAGAAGUUGCAGAUGAAACCUUGCCAGGCUGUAGUACAAAACUUUUGGAUGGUUGG